UUAAUAUAAGAAACUAAAAAAUAAGAAUAUUUGUUGUACAAAUUUAAUGUGUUAUAUUAAUUUUAACAAUAUGAAAUAUUAAAUUUUAUCUUGACACAAUUAAAUAAAGAUUUAUAAUUUGAAUUCUUUUAUAAAGUCUAUAACAAUUUUUUCAACACUUUUUGGUAAUAUAUCGAGUUAGUUUUGAACAAUGUUUACCUGUGGAUAAGUGUCAAUAUCAGAAGACCAGCGCGAUGUCUGAUCCGAUGGUUUAUCUACAAGGAUAUUUCUAAAAAAAGAAAAAAAAUAUAUUAAUUUAAUGCUUAGUAAAAAGUCCGGCGUUAGAAAAUUAUUGCCAUGUUACGAUUGUUUUCCAAUUUGUAAUUACAAAGUGUAGUUGAAAGAAAAUCAUUUAAAAUUAAUGAAACACUUACUCUGGCACAUAAGAUGAAGAAAAGCUGGAGCAUUUAUAAAUUUUGAACUCCAAAACUUUCUGAAAAUUGCUAUUCUCGUUCGACGCCAUGUUACACAAAUGACAUAAGCUUUUAACACUAAAUGUGUGUGCCAUUUUUAUAGAUAUAUAUCUAAGGAAGAACACUGUAUGAAAAUAUAAUUCGAAAAAACGAUGUAUUGUAUUGUAAUAAAUUACUAUUUGGACAAAUUAUAAA